GACGAACGCUGGCGGCGUGCUUAACACAUGCAAGUCGAACGGAAAGGCCCUGCUUUUGUGGGGUGCUCGAGUGGCGAACGGGUGAGUAACACGUGAGUGACCUGCCCUUGACUUUGGGGUAACUUCAGGGAACUGGGGCUAAUACCGGAUAGGAGCUCCUGCUGCAUGGUGGGGGUUGGAAAGUUUCGGCGGUUGGGGAUGGACUCGCGGCUUAUCAGCUUGUUGGUGGGGUAGUGGCUUACCAAGGCUUUGACGGGUAGCCGGCCUGAGAGGGUGACCGGCCACAUUGGGACUGAGAUACGGCCCAGACUCCUACGGGAGGCAGCAGUGGGGAAUAUUGCACAAUGGGCGGAAGCCUGAUGCAGCAACGCCGCGUGCGGGAUGACGGCCUUCGGGUUGUAAACCGCUUUCGCCUGUGACGAAGCGUGAGUGACGGUAAUGGGUAAAGAAGCACCGGCUAACUACGUG
rnacentral:rRNA from 1 species